CUUGAUCGACCCCAGCCACAACGGCCCGCCCGAACCACGGUCCUGCCCAUAAGUCGCCAACAACGCCUGCGCCUC
rnacentral:antisense_RNA from 1 species